CAGUAGCCGCGGGAAUACGGAGGGUGCAAGCGUUACUCGGAAUCACUGGGCGUAAAGGACGCGUAGGCGGAUUAUCAAGUCUCUUGUGAAAUCUAACGGCUUAACCGUUAAACUGCUUGGGAAACUGAUAAUCUAGAGUAAGGGAGAGGCAGAUGGAAUUCUUGGUGUAGGGGUAAAAUCCGUAGAGAUCAAGAAGAAUACCCAUUGCGAAAGCGAUCUGCUGGAACCUAACUGACGCUAAUGCGUGAAAGCGUGGGGAGCAAACAGGAUUAGAUACCCCCGUAGUCCCUGUCUCUUAUAC
rnacentral:rRNA from 1 species